CCUGUUUAACAAAAACAUGUCUUUUGAGUUAUUUUUAAAGUCUGACCUGCCCACUGAAAUUAUUUAAAUGGCCGCAGUAUUCUAACUGUGCAAAGGUAGCAUAAUCAUUAGUCUUUUAAUUGAAGGCUGGUAUGAACGGUUGGACGAGGUAUAAGCUGUUUCAUAUAAAUUUAUAAUAGAAUUUUAUAUUUUAGUCAAAAAGCUAAAAUUUAAUUAAAAGACGAGAAGACCCUAUAAAUCUUUAUACUUUAUGUUAUUUAAAUUUUUUAGAUUAAUUUUAUUUUUAUAACUUAAAGUAUUUUGUUGGGGUGAUAUUAAAAUUUAAUGAACUUUUAAUUGUUAAAAAUCAUUAAUUUAUGAGUUAUUGAUCCAUUAAUAGUGAUUAUAAGAUUAAGUUACUUUAGGGAUAACAGCGUAAUUUUUUUGGAGAGUUCAUAUCGAUAAAAAAGUUUGCGACCUCGAUGUUGGAUUAAGAUAUAUUUUAGGUGUAGCCGCUUAAAU
rnacentral:rRNA from 1 species